AGAAGCUGGUAGUCCGGCAUCAUAGUUACAAGUGUGGGCGUUGAUGGUAACAGACCUAAAUCUCAGAUUUGCUGCUUCCUAUCUUUGGAAUUUUGGGCAACUCAAAUCUCUCUGAGACUCAUUUUCCAACAGGAAUAAAAAUAGUAUAUACUUCUUGAAGAUUCAGUAAAAUAAUGUUGACAAAACAUCUAUCAAAGGCUUACCUUUUCAUCACUUGAAGACCAGUGGUUACGUGAUUUGGACCCACUGAGGAACGUAGAAUGAUAUCAGUUCAAAAGUAUUGGAUACCUGUGGAGCACUUUGCAAGAUAUUGCAGGAUUUUCGGGGCUUUCUAUAGAACUACACAGAAGUAUUGCUGAGUACUUUGCAAUGUGAAUUCCUGCAAUUUGCAGGAAUUUGCUACGCUUUUCAGGUGAUCAUACCAGGCAUUGAGUGCCACAACAUGAAAACUUGACUGCAUCCUCAGGACACUAGAGAUCACGGCCAUGUGGUGAUGCCAGGCAUGGGCAAGAAAUAAUACUCACUAUGUCUGUGCAGGUGAAGUGGCCAUAAAAGACUACAAAGCUUUUCUAAGCAGCAGAUGUGUUCGGGUAACUACAUUGUAGAAAAUGGUGAUUGUCAGAGAAUCAUUGCCAUCCACAUGUGAAUGAUAUCAAGAGAAAAAUCUUGCCUUUUCUACUCAAGUAUGAACCUAUUCCAUUGUGGUUGUUAUUAAUCUGUGAGGGUCCUUUAAAACAAAUCCCAAAUCUAACGUAAGUAAAAGUAUUCUUUUUGUUUUGUGCUUUUUCUCCCACAAUCUGACAAAAGUAAACAAUACAAAUAGGUUCUUUCUUCUUUUCAAAGCAUUACACAGAUGGAUGCUGCAUGUUGGUGUGGGUUUGGUUUAUUAUUCUUGAGUUCAUUGCUUUUUAUAAUCAUUAUCUUACUUAGAACUCAAAUCAUUUGGGUA